rnacentral:lncRNA from 1 species
UGAGAGCCCUAGAGGUGUUUAUCUUCCUCUUCUCGGAAUCAUGAAGCUUUUCAGUGAGUAUUUUCACAAGACAAGAGAAUUGUUCAUGAGUAUCUUGUAGAUCAGCAGUGUGAUUUGGGAGCAACUGACAAAAAACUAAAAGGAGAACAGAAAUGCUGCAUCUCCUAGGAUUCUCUAGCCUUUCUCUAUCUGUCCACUUCGAGAUCAUUGUCACUUUUUAUUUUGUCCCAUAUCAAAAAGAACAGCCUGUUAAUAGGUAACAAGAAUCUGGAAAGAUUUUUGCAAUGCUAUAAAUAGCCAGAGCAGUUCUCCAGCCAGCAAAAGCAGUCCUGUGUUUAUACCCAGAGAAUGUAGACAGAGAAAGAUAAUGGUUUGUUUUCUUUAGGUGGAAUGACUUUGGCAGUGAACAGUUGCAUUGUUACUAAUUUUACACAGUUGAAUAAGACAAUAAAAUCUUCAGAGUACAUUUCAAGACAGUUACAACACAGACUUAAAUACAUCUGAAAUACAGCAUCAUUUCAAGAUGAUUGCACAUAUUUUCAGAAUAUGUGCAAUCAUCAACAUACACACACAUAUAGAGCCACAGUGACUAACACUGACAGGGUGCUUCUUUUAUUUUCUUGGUUCUGCUGGGGCACUCCAUUGAAUGGCAACGCUCUGAACCUUGUGUUCAUACAAGAAUCUUGCAGAGCUGGGUUGGAUUAGCAUGUUGCACAUAUUUACACUGGAGUAACAUUACCUCUUUGUAAGUCUGCUUCUGCAUAAUGCCCAGCUUCCUCUACUUCAAACCACUCUUGUUCCAGUCCAUUCACCCCUCCAUAACUGCUUGGCACAGUUUCAGUUCGCCUCCCUGCCCUUAUUUUUUUUUUUUUUUUUCAGUAGGCUUUGUCAAGUCUGCUCCUAAAUCUUCCUGUUCAUUUUGUUUCAGGGUCAUAUCUGAGGUGGUUCAAAUUAAACAAAAAGAAAACCCAGGAGUUACAGGUCACUUGCUUUUAGGACCAUGGCACAAGAGCUGAGGAAUGGCAUCAAGUUAAUGCAGCUACAGGUUUUCUCCCCAAAACUGCUAUGAACUGUACUGUACCACGUGGAUGGACGUCAGCCACCACAUAGCUGAACAGGAACUCUGAGCUUCACUUCCAAGACAGGACACACCCAUGUGUUGGCAGGUUGAUGAGGGCAAAGUACACACAGAUAAACUCUCCAUAAAAAGGCUCUCCUACUGGGGGUGUGAAGGGCACUUGACAAAAUAAAUCAAUUUGCAUGACUAAAAAACCCA